rnacentral:rRNA from 1 species
UACAAUGGCCGGUACAAAGAGAAGCGAGGCUGUGAAGCGGAGCAAAUCUCAAAAACCGGUCCCAGUUCGGAUUGUAGGCUGCAACUCGCCUACAUGAAGCCGGAGUUGCUAGUAAUCGCGGAUCAGAAUGCCGCGGUGAAUGCGUUCCCGGGUCUUGUACACACCGCCCGUCACACCAUGGAAGUUGGGGCGCCCGAAGUUGCCUAAGAAAUAAGGUACCUAAGGCGAAACCAAUGACUGGGGUGAAGUCGUAACAAGGUAAC